rnacentral:lncRNA from 10 species
UUGCUGCGCAGGACCCCUUGAAAAAAAAUGAGGACCCGUCUUUUUUAGGUCACAAGAUUGCGCCAACCCUUACAUGGUCCUUAAAAAAAAAACCUUCUGACACUGCAGUAGUGAAAAUGAAGCGCACGAUGGGCGGAAGCUAGGAAGACAAACAUAAAGAUGAAGUGCUUAAUUCAAGGUCACACAAUGUCGGGGAUGGACCUCCAGAUUUCCUUACUGACCUGCAUUAUCUUGUGGAUACCUGAGUGAAUUCCACACCACCCAUUUUAUAGAUGAAACCACUGAGACAUGGAGCAAUUGACUGAGUAGUCACUGCCCCACCCCUGCCUGGAGCCUCACACAUGACUCGCCUCCUCUCAGUGACCACAGGUGAGACGUGGUCUUGUAACACAGUGGUUAAGAAUGUGACUUUGGAGCCAGCCUGCUAGGGGCUGAAUUCUGACUCAGCCAUUUACUAACUGUGUGACCUUAGUCUGUCUAGUGACUGGUGUUGUCAUAAGAAGAGAGGGACACAGAGGGAAGAUGGCCACAUGAAGAUGGAGGCAGAGAUUGCAGUUAUGCUGCUGCAAACUAAGGAAUGGCUCUGGCCCUCCAAGGAUUGCUGAUAACCACCAGAAACUAGAAGAGACAAGGAAGGAUUCUUCCCUAGAGCCUUCAGAGGGAGCAUGGCCCUACUGACACCUGGAUUUCAAACUUGUAGCUUCCUAAACUGCAAGAGAAUAAAUUUCUGUUGUUUUAAGCCA